UUUUAGUUAGUAUUUUAAGUAUAUUUGCCUUCCAAGCAAAAGGUCUCGUAAAGGAGACUCUUUU
rnacentral:tRNA from 1 species